rnacentral:rRNA from 1 species
UACGAAGGGGGCUAGCGUUGUUCGGAAUUACUGGGCGUAAAGGGCGCGUAGGCGGUUUGUCAAGUCAGGCGUGAAAGCCCCGGGCUCAACCUGGGAACCGCGCUUGAGACUGGCAUGCUCGAGUUCGGGAGAGGAUGGUGGAAUUCCCAGUGUAGAGGUGAAAUUCGUAGAUAUUGGGAAGAACACCGAUGGCGAAGGCAGCCAUCUGGACCGACACUGACGCUGAGGCGCGAAAGCGUGGGGAGCAAACAGG